AUUUAAAUAGCUUAUAUUUAGAGCAUAACACUGAAGAUGUUAGAGUGAUUGUUUUAAUCUUUAAAUA
rnacentral:tRNA from 1 species